rnacentral:lncRNA from 1 species
UUUUCUAUAGUUUUUGUAUCACCCUUAAAGAUCUUUUUGGUUCAAUCGAGAGAAUAAGAGAGAAGAAGAGAGAGAUUUCUAAUUACAUAUGUUUAGUUCAAAAUAUGAAGACGUAAGAGCAGGAGUGUUCAUGGAUCUGAAUCGACCCACAAACCCACUAGUCCAAAUCGAGUCAAUCCAUAAAUUAUCUUAACUCAUUUAGGAGUAUACUCAAUCAAAUCCAU